rnacentral:tRNA from 4 species
GGCCCCGUGGCGCAACUGAAUAGCGCAUCAGAUUUCGGCUCUGAGGGUUGGGGGUUUGAGUCCCUCCGGGGUCACGA